GAAAACCAAACAUGCUUUAUUUCAUUUUUUUCACAAUUUAUUUAAACAUCUCACAUAUACAAAAUAGGUACAAUUUAAUUUUUCUGCUUGCCCAAGAAACAAAGCUUCUGUGGAACCAUGGAAGAAGAUGAAAAUGAGACUGGCAAAGAACAAAUGCUGAAUCUGAAGAAGAUUUGGGCAAAUAAUCUGCAUACUUUUAAUUGGGAAUAAGAUGGAAAAUAUGAAUGCUAAAUCAAAUUUUUUAAAAAAUACACCACACGAUACAACUCAAUACAGGAGUAUUUCUUCUCAAAUUCUUCUAGCACCAUCAACAUUCUUCAAGUAUCUGAAAUACUAUUAAUUAGCACCUUUGUAUUAUGAACAAAACAAAACAAGGACCUCAGUUCAUCUCUGUCUAGGUCAGCACCUAACAAUGUGGAUCACACUCAUGGGAAAGUGUUUUGAGGUAGUUUAAACCUUUGGAAGUUUGGGUUUUAAACUUCCCUCUGUGGAAGAUAUUCAAAAGCCACAAGUGGUGCAAAUGUUUAUGGUUUUUAUUUUUCAAUUUUUAUUUUGGUUUUCUUACAAAGGUUGACAUUUUCCAUAACAGGUGUAAGAGUGUUGAAAAAAAAAUUCAAAUUUUUGGGGGAGCGGGGGAAGGAGUUAAUGAAACUGUAUUAAGAAGAAGAAAUGGCAAAGAGAAAGUUUUUUCAAAUUUCUUUCUUUUUUAAUUUAGAUUGAGUUCAUUUAUUUGAAACAGACUGGGCCAAUGUCCACAAAGAAUUCCUGGUCAGCACCACCGAUGUCCAAAGGUGCAAUAUCAAGGAAGGGCAGGCGUGAUGGCUUAUUUGUUUUGUAUUCAAUGAUUGUCUUUCCCCAUUCAUUUGUCUUUUUCUGUUUAAAGAGAAGAAAAUAGAUACACAAAGCAUCACUAUUUCUGAAUCUGAUAAUAUCUGAACCUUUGAUUUAAUAAGAACCACUGUUUGGCAUGUGUCAUUCUGAAGAUGUCUGUCCCAGAUAAAUAAGUUCAUCCUUGAAAUAACAGUAUCAAGGGUGUCUUUAGUGGGAGGGGCUCCCUAUCAGUCUAACAAAAAACAAACAAACAAACAAACCAAAAAAACCAACAACAUUUCAACACACAUUCCAAGUGACCUAUCUCUACAAAGUCAUUUUUAGGAUUGUUGUGUGUAUGUCCCUCUAUGUGUGUCUUUGGGAGCGGGACCUGGGUGGGUAUGUAGUCUUGCUGUUAGUGAAUUUUAAUUUUUCUUAUAUUUAUAGCAUAUUGUAGAAAAAGCAUUAAAAGUUAAAUGUAGGCCAUACUAAUAAGUAAAAUAAAAUACACAUAACUAUAAAUUAUAGUUUAGGCCACUGAAGUCUCAAGAAAUUUUAAGUUCUGGGCACACAUUACCAUUUAAAAAACAUGCUAAAGAAAAAACAAUGCAUGGACAUAGUAUACAUUUCAGCAUUUCAGAAGGCACUAUCUGAUAAGAAUACUCUGAAUUUAUCAUCUGAAUUUAAGUACGAAAUUAAUACGUAUAAAUAAAUAAAUAUAAAAUACAUACAAAAACUGAAUUUACUUAUGAAAUAAGUUAGUUCUCUCAUUCUUCUGUUCUUUUAACCCCCCUUUAGACCCCCCCUUGGGGGCAGUCUAAGUUAGAACCCCCUCCAUCCCACUUCCCAAAGCUAUUCCCAUAUUUCACUAUUACUUACAGAGCAGCCAUCUACAAGAACAGUGUAAGUGAACCUGCUGUUGCCCUCAGCAACAAGUUCAACAUCAUUAGAGCCCUGUAGAAUGACAGCCUUUUUCAGGUUGCCAGUCUCCUCAUCCAUGUAUGCAAUGCUGUUCUUGCAGUGGUAGGUGAUGUUCUGAGAGGCAUAGUUGGCCAGCAGGCGCAUGAAGGCAAGUUGGGUAGCCAUUUCCUUGGAAGUCACUCCUUCUACAUUAUAUUCAAACUACAGAAAAUAGGAUGAAAUUCCAGUUAAGUGGAGAAGGACUCAGAUACUAAGAGUCAAACAUGAAAAAAAAAAAAAAGAAAAAAAAAGAUCUCAGGAAGAGUAGACUCAGAUCCAAGCUUAGGAAAAGGGUACUUUUAAAGAAAACUUAAUUCACUUGUCUUUGAAGUAUCAGUUACCUAGAUGAACAUAAGACCUACUAGACUGAGGCAAGGUCAUCUAAAAAAGUUAUCUGUUUCAAUUAAUCCUUUUUGCAUAUGCUUCUUCUUUAGAAUAAGAGAAUGAGGAGGUAGAAAUUCUGACAUUUUUCUUUUUCUGUCAUUUUGUAAUUUAUGGAAUUCCAGUAGGCAUUCAGUAAAGUUGGUGAAAAGGUUUGAUUAAAAAUUCAGAAAAGCUGCUCACAUUCUGAAAAUGCAUAUGUAUGAGUGUGGCAUAUAGCUGGCCAGUGCUCCUUCACACUAAAUGACAUUAGUCAGUUUUUUCAAUGAUUACCAAUUAAGUCAAAUUUGAAUAAUAACUUUGAAUUACAUGGAUGUGUCCAAUCAAUCCAUCUUCUAAUGUGCAAUUUAGGACAAAAUUGGAACCCAGGAAAGGAACAGGUCUUUUUUUAAUAAGCCCAUUUUUGUCAGAGAUUAAAAUGCAGAUAAUUAACAAACAGUCCUACCAAAAUAUUAUUUAGCAGAAGGAGAGGUGUUUGUGGGAUUCCUCACCUGGCUGCCAGCAUUGAUAGUUUCUCCUAGCCAGACGUGUUUCUUGUCCUUGGAGCUCCUAUACCAGUUCUUGGCUGGGAUGUUUUCAGGUUGGGCCCGGAUACAGGUUUCGCCAGUAGAGAAAUCACAGUAUACUUUGAUAGCAUCCAUAGUGCAUCCUUGGUUAGGGUCAAUCCAGUAGUAACCUUUUAAGAAAAUAACAUUCAGAUCAUGAAACUUCUCAUUGAGCAGAACACAGAUUCUAAUAAUAACUAAUGAAAGAUACUGACUCUCAUAAGUAACAUUUUUGAUUGUCUACCCCAUAUUUAAGAGGAAGAGGGUGGCUAUUUUUAAGAUUAGACAGUUCCUUCCCUCCCCUCCUCCAUGAAAAAUCAAAUCAGGGUACUUAUUACUAUGAAAAGUGCAAAAAUACAUUUUAAGGGAAAUGAGGUUGGGUGCUGGUUGGGAGAAGAUGACGCUCCAUUAAUUGGGUGUGAUUUCACAUAAUGUAAUCUUUACCCAAAUGCAUUUUCACUCUAAAUGUCAAUGGAAACUAAUUUUGAAAAGCUCAACUUGUGAGAAGGGUCAGUCUGGUCUGGACAUCUUGACCUACCACUGCUCCACUCUGGGUGGCUGAGUCUCAAGUCACGGCAUGUGCGAGCUGGGUUCUUUCUAGAGCCUUCAGGAGUAAGAAGGGUCUCAAUCUGGUUGUUGAGAGACUUCAGAGUAGCAUCAACUUCAUAGUCCUUGGGUCUGAGAGAAGGUGCUGAGCGAGGCUGGUCAGCCCUGUAGAAGUCUCCAUCGUAACCAAAGUCAUAACCACCACCGCUUACACCUGGAGGUCCAGGAGGGCCAGGGGGACCAGGGGGGCCCUGCAAAGGUGAAAGUGAGAUAGGAGAGGCUUUAUAUUUUGUUACAGUGAGAGACAUCCAUGGCAGCAGAUUUUCAGUUGAGCUUCACACGGAAGCAUGUUCUCAUCAGUAAAAAAUAAUCAAGUUCACAUAAAUAAAUAACGAGCCCCCAGGCACACUUGCAGGGAUGGACUUAACAAGCCCAUUGCAUAUAGACAAUUUCCAGAUAUUUUAGAGGAUAUAUUGAAAUGGGGCUAACUUUAAUGGGUUGUCAAAGUUGUCUUGGUUUAGUCUGAAGAAAACAUUCCUUAGGUCCGUGAUCUUCUUUAUUAUUUCCCCAAAUCAUACUUACAGCAGGGCCUUGGUGACCCUGAGGGCCUCGAAUGCCAGCAGGUCCAACUGUACCAGGAUGUCCAGUGCGACCAUCUUUUCCAGCAGGGCCAGAAGGACCAGCAGGGCCCUAAGGAAGACAGACACCAGGUACAUGUGAGCUGGUGAAUCCCACCAAGGGAGCAGCAGCCUGGGGCUCACUGCUCGCUUUAGCCUCUAUUUCAGAGAUGAACUGUCUUCUCUUGAGUCCACCUACCCUAGGACCAGCAGGACCCACGGAGCCAGGAGCACCUUGAUCACCAUGGUGACCCUUUAAAGACAGAAGAGGAAAAUCACACUUUCAGAGCACAUGUCAAGAGACAUAUUUUUUUUUUUUUUCCAAAUUGAAUGGGAAACUUUAGUUAAAUGGACUCCGGAUUGAGAAAAUUGAAAAUGUAAAGUGGGGCUCUUUUCUCCCAUUAUGUCUAUUAUAUUCAAUUUUUUUUUCACAACCUAUUUCAGCAGUGCAAUAUUAGUCAUUCCUCUAAUUAUGUUUAUUUUAAGUGGGGUUGAAGGACAUUGUUACCAGGAGAUUUUAUUGUAUGUCUAUUUCUAUCUCCCUUAAUCCUCACCUUUCAUGUUGGUAUGAAAUAGCAUUACCUCCAAGAGUGAGAUGGAGUUAGCCAGAGAAUGGGAAAUGGAUAUUAUAUAGGCUAUACUGGAACAAUAGCAGUGAAAAUAUGAAAAUCCUUCUGAGCUGAAGGCCUUCAGGAUCAGUUUAUGUGCGAGAUGGCUACAGUUUACUUACAGCGAUACCAGGCAGACCUUGCAAUCCAUUGUGUCCCUUUAAGCCAGGAAGACCUCUGGGCCCCUUUUCACCGGGCUCUCCCUUAUCGCCACGAAUGCCUUGUGGGCCCUAUAAAGAAACAGAAGGAUGGAUAAGACUUACCGUUUUAAAAAAAUGGCACUCACUUCACCACAAAUACUGCUUAAUUCGUUUACAAAGGUAACUCAGGACAUGUAAUGGUUUAGCUAGGCUCUCACCUCUGCUGGUAAUCUGCUUUAGUUGUGCUAUCUGUAAAGUGGCUAGAUCCUUGUAAUUGUUUAAUACAAACAAGCAUAAGAGAUUUAAAAUAGCUCAAGUUAUUUGUAUCAAUUCUCAGCAUGGACUGAAAUUUUUAAAAAAUAUUAAGUCUAGCUGAUAUAUUGUUUAUUUUCUUAACAGAUGUUUUGGACUGAUUCUCUCUAAAUGUUAGUGUUGCAAAGAAAUCUUCAGCAUGUACAUACACUAGGACCUCUUGGGCCAACAGCACCAGCAGGACCAACAGGACCAGAAGGACCCUGUGAAAUGAAAAAGAAAAACACAACUUAGCUAGGCCCAAGAUACCCCUCCCCACUCCUCCACCAUCCCCAAGUGUGGGGAAGUCAGAAGUGAAGCCCACGAGAAUGCUGCACUGAGGGACUGGUAUUCACAAACUUACAGUUUCACCACGGUUUCCAUGUUUGCCAGCAGGACCCACGGGGCCAUGAGGACCAGGUGCACCUGCAGCACCAACGGGACCAAUAUUGCCAGGGUAACCGCGCUCUCCCUACCAAAGGCAAAAUGAAGCUUAGCAUCAAUCUGGGUUGCAUUUUAAUCACUUUUGAAUUAGAGAAAGAUGAAAAGUGUACUGACCUUGUGUCCGGGUUGACCAUCGCGACCUGGGGGACCAUCGUUCCCAGGGUUGCCCUGUGAAGACACCACACAAAUUAAGGCUGUUGGUGAGGCUCUGCUGCCUACCAGCCCCUAUGUUGUAGCUACUCUGUCUUCAUCACUUCCAGUGCUCAGUAACGAACCCUCUUUCAGACUGUUAAAACUAGGGAUAAAAACCUGCCAACCUAGAUAUUUUUUAGAGAUGUUUUAAAUACUUGGGCCCAGUUUUGCAGUGUGCUAUUGAAAAGCCCAUUCUUUGGCCUAAGCAAUUUUCAUAUUUUCAGUACUAGGUGUAGAUACUAUGGAGAAGCUGACCAUCUUGUUCAGAAAUUUGGAAGAAGAGAACCUCAGCUCAGGACAUAAAGUUUCACACAAUGAAAUCCUGCUCAGUUUUAUUUUACAAACCAAGUGUUGGACUCACAUCACGACCAGCUUCACCAGGAGCACCGUUGACUCCAGGACUACCCACAGCACCAGGAGGACCACGGGCCCCAGGAGGGCCGGCAAUGCCAAGAGGACCAGGUUCACCCUAAACAGGCAGAGAAGAUAAAAUGACAUUCCCCUUAUUCGAUGGAAUGCUAACCUUCCCCUCCAAAACAACCCUACUCAGGAGAUUCUAGUUUGAAGGAAGAAGGUAAAUUGAAUGUGAAUGGGUCACACAAUGGUAAGAAGUAUCAUUAGUAUCAUCUCUGCCCUCCUUCUCCACAUGUAGAUGGCCAGCUUUAUGUAAUCACGGGAUGUUGCUCUGUAAAAAGUGAGCCUCGUGUCAUUCAGUAUCCCAAAUGAAAUGAAUUCAAAAAGUUGAUAUAUUUUAUGGAGAUGAGAUGGUUUCUAGUUGUUGUCACGUAUAAGGUUUAAUGGAACGAUUCAGAACUUCCAGAGUUUCAUUCUUCCUACAGGAUAAAUGAUGCCAGCAUUUCAUAUUGCAGAGGAGUAAACGCAAUUAGAGAUUGUAUCAUUCCUAAGUGCGUGGAAAGAACAAAAAUCAUUCUGCAUAAUUUUAAGCUGUGUCUUUAUAGUGUGUGUCUAAGUAAGGUGGUAUUAAAGCUUCUUAGAUAAGUGACAUGUGAUCUGUAUAAAGAAAAUGCCAUGAAUAAAAAUCUUAAGUGAAGUUAUUCAGUGAUCAAUCUGUCACAUUUGAAGUGGCAGCUUUUAAAAUCUUUUCUUAUGUUAAUGGAGUCAGAAUACUGUCAAGCACUCACCACAGCACCAGCAACACCUGGUAGACCACGUUCACCUCUCGAGCCAGGGAGACCCAGAAUACCAGGAGCACCAAGAAGACCCUGAGGACCUGGAGUGCCAGGAGGUCCCUAAAUAGAGAAAAAAUACUGAGUAUUAUGGGUAAGACCCUAGGUGAUAACACAGGUUGGCUUGAAGAUUGUGAGAAUAAACUGUCUUCAGCUUAGAAAAAGGCUAAUGACCUCCUAUUACUAGGACAUAUCCUUGGAUAUCUUUUCUCUAGUGAUGACGGUGAGUUUACAUCUUGGCAUGAAUACUUUUGUAUCUGAUUCAUCCUUGAGACCAAUGGCACAACAUUUAAAAAUAUGUGGUUGAGAUUUAUAAAGACACUUGGGGUGGUGAAAUAGAGUUUUUAUAGCCUCUAGGCAGGGAAACAAAUAAAAAAAUUUAAAUUGUUAUGGAUACAUAAUAGUUGUACAUAGUAGGAGGGGUUCCUCAAAAAACUAAAAAUAGAACUACCAUAAGAUCCAGCAAUCACACUGCUGGGUAUAUACACAAAGGAAAGGAAAUCAGGCUGGGUGGGGUGGCUCACAUGUGUAAUCCCAGCACUUUAGGAGGUCAAGGUGGGUGGAUCACCUGAGGUCAGGAGAUCGAGACCAGCCUGACCAAUAUGGUGAAACCCCGUCUUUACUAAAAAUACAAAAAUUAGCUAGGCAUGAUGGUGUGUGCCUGUAGUCCCAGCUACUCGGGAGGCUGAGACAAGAUAAUUACUUAAACUGGGGAGGCGGAAGUCGCAGUGAGCUGAGAUCGUGCCACUGCACUCCAGCCUGGGCAACAGAGGGGAACUCCAUCCCAAAACAAAAAAACAAAAACAAAAACAAAAAACAAAAACAAAAAGGAAAUCAGUAAAAUCAGUAUAUCAAAAGGAAGCAAAUUUUGACUUUGGCCUCUAAGGUCUAAUAGGGGCACCUUUCAGAGUAGCACUAAUACUGGACAGUGUAUGUUUAAGAAAUUGGUAGCCUACUGAGAUUGAUUAAUAUGUAGUAGGAUGGCCACAGCAAUGGGACUCUGUUCUAAUCCUGGUACCAGUAAGGUGCCUUCAAUAGCUUUAAGGGCUUUGUGAUAAAACUGAGUUCCCUCAUUUAUUGUCUUCCCGAUUUUGUGCUUUCUGAGCAUCUUGGAAGCCACAGCCCCUCAGUGUGUGCUGGACAGAUUUCCUGGCUCAACUGAGCUCUACUUGAGAGCCUGCAAUACUCAUCAACAAAUAGAUGCCACUUGAAGAUUUGUGUAGGGGCUUUAUUUUAAUUCAGCAUAAGGUAUUAAGAAAGAGGAGUUGGAAAUCACUUACAGCAGUACCAGCCUCUCCAGAGGGACCCUUCUCACCAGCGAAGCCAGGGGGACCAACUGCACCUACUUCUCCAGUUCGGCCAACUGGACCUUGGUCACCACGAGGACCACGAAGCCCUUCUUUCCCAGCAGGACCAGGGGGACCAGGAGGGCCAGAAAUACCCUAUGAGCAAAUGUACAAGGUCAUUUCCUUUCUGUUAAUCACCAAGGGCCUGGAAGAGAGCAGCAAAGAUUCUAGAUCUUAAGAUGCAAACAAUGUGAUGCAAUAAAAUAAUACCCUGGCCAUUUGGGGGAAAUAUUUAUAGUUUUUAACCUUCUUUCUUGCAGAAAGAAGCAACUCCUGUCUUCCUUUAUGAGGCUGUAACCAACCAAAUAAUGGAGGAGAGACUAUGGCAAAUUUCUAUGAGGAAAAACAAUGUCAUGCCACUGGUACCCUGGCAUAUUGGAAUCAGAACUAUGUAGAAUGAUAGGAGUUAAUGAUAAAUGAAUGGGACUCUGAGUUUCGAAGGACUUUGCCUUUUCUUUUUUCUUCUUUUUUUUUUUUUUUAAAGAAAGCCAAUAUACGUGUUUUGUUCAUAAUUGAGGAAUCCCACACACUUCUCAACUAGGUUUAAUUAAAUGCCUACAGGGAAUGAAGAUUUUUCUGUUAUGAACCUGUAAAAGGAUUCCAAGAAAUCAACAUCUUUGCUAUUUUUUUUUCCCAGAAACCUUAACCAGAAGACUUAAUCCUUGGUAAUUAAUUAAAUUUUCUUGAGUCCUGACAGGAGAGUCUGAAUCAGAAUUAAAUUAGAGGCCAAACCACCUUUAAAUUCAGGAACAAUUAUACCUUAACAAUGGAGGCAGAAUGUUAGCCAUAAAGGAUAAUUAGAUAUAGAAAUAUCUGAUAUGUGGCUAAAACUGUUCGUUUUUUUGUUUUUUUUUUUUCAAAAAGACCAUGCCCCUGAAAGGGGACUGGUGUUCACAUGAAUAAAAGCCUCUUAAACUGAUAUUAUAAAAUAUAACUUGUGAUGAAAUACCUUAAUGGUUCAGAAAAGCUGACUUCAGACCAGGAGAGUAAUAGCGAAUAUUAGUGAUGUGUUUUCAUGAAGAGUUUCUUACCAGUUUCCUAUCAGAAGCCAGGCCUUUUGGCUAGAGUAAAUGAAGACACGUUUACAGUGAUUUACUUACAGAGGGUCCUGGGGGACCAGUCCGUCCAGCAGCACCAGGGAAACCAGUCAUACCCUAAGAGCCAAGCACAUUAGAAUUCCACAGUCAACAUCAACUCCAAGAAUUUGGGUAAGAUGGGAAUUUCUUUGUUUUGGAAAAUCAGUACAUGUGACCAGGAAUAGACCAAGGAGUAGGAGGUAGGCAGCUUCAUAUAGGGCAUUAUUUAGCCAGGACCCUGAAGGCCCUCCUUCUCCACACAUCUUCCUUACCAGCAUAUUACCAGUUGCAAUGCCCAUAUUUUGCGUUAAGGUUUGGAUGGUCCUUUCUGAAAUGCUGACAUAUUAUCUUAUGGUUGUAAAGGUAUGAAGAUAAGACACUAUGUCAUUAUUACACAUUAAUGUGUAUACAUUAAUAACUAUCUUUACCACCUGGCUGAGUGGUAAGGAAAUGGACACUUAAUAGGUAAUGGUGUUCAUGGACAAAAGAAUAACAAAUGACCUAGAUAAUUCAGCACUGUCCAGUGAGAGAAGAAGUCAGUAAAGUUCAUUUUUGGGGAGCUCUGGGUCUCUAGAGAAUUGUUGUGAUAGCAUUGCCUGCAAAGGAGAAGGACAUGGUCAGGCAGAAGAAGGGGCAUAUUAAUAAACGCCAAAAGGAAUAUUUUUUCCGACUUUACAAUUAAACUGCCUAGGGCCCACCUUGGUUAUUACCUCAAGUGAGCUGAUAGCAACAUACACUGAGUUCCAGCUGAGUUCAAGUUAACAUCAAUAUCGGAAUUGCUCUGAAUAGAAUGAACUUGAAUCUCAAAAGUUUCCUCAUGGUAGUCCAAAUUUACCAAAAAUUUCAAAACUUUCAAGUGUCCUUAAUAGAUUCUGAAAAAAGAAAAGCGGCGAGAGUCCAUUGUAAAUACUCACAGGGGGGCCUCCAUCACCACGACUUCCAGCAGGACCGGGGGGACCAUUUGGACCCUAAAUGCAAACAAAAAGAUGGAGUCAAAUCACAAACAAACCCUUGUAAAUGCUACUCUUUUCUUCAAGUGGAUCAUUCCCGCAUCUCUUAGAAGAAAAUAUAGAAAUAAAAAAUGACUAUCUGUGUCAGAAUGUUCUUCAAUAUUACCACCCUUAUGAGGUUAUCAGAGAAUUAAAAUAAAACAAUAUUCAUGAAACUUUUAUACUUUGUAAAGCAGUGUGCAAAUGUUAAUCCUUCCGUUAUUUUCCAUCUUCUAUCUGGUAUAUUCCCUGUUGCAUAGCAGGCACUUGACGGAUAUAUAUUUAAUUGGAAGAUCUAAUGGGUAGCUGCUGUGUGGACCACCAGUGAAUUCAACUUACAGCUGGGCCAGCAGCUCCAACGGGGCCUGUGGGACCAACAACACCGUUUUCACCCUUAGGCCCUUUGGCUCCUCUUUCUCCUUUAGCACCAGGUUGACCAGCAGCACCCUGUUGGAAAUAAACAGUUACAGCUCUGGUAUUCCGACCCACUCUACUCCCCAACUUAGGAUGUUUUCAGAUUAAUCUUCAUUAUGUGAUACUCACAGCAGGACCAGCAAAUCCAUUGGGGCCAGCAGGACCGACCUCACCACGUUCACCCUAGGUGGGAGAAGGGAUUUAAAAAUGUGUUAUCAAUCCUAGGUUCAUCAAUGUCUAAACAUUGUGAGGUGUGAGUAUACAAAAUGACCCAGGUUCUUACUUACAGGGCUUCCCCGAGGACCAGCAGGACCAGCAGGACCAGCAGCCCCAGCUUCGCCCUAUAAUGGGACCAAAGAUGAAUCUGUUAAUGUGCCUGACAUAGAUGCUCAAAGAACUGGGAGGGAGAGAGAACAGUGGUGGACAGACAGAGUCUGUAGUUGCCUUGGAAGAGAUAACUGACGCACAUCUCACAGAGUAAAAUGAAGUGGAUUUUUACUUAAUGCUAUAUUCAUUUUGGGGGUUAAGUAGUAUGGGUUAUACACUUGAGAAAACACUAUAAAUCAGUGCCUACAAUACCAGGAGGAGGACAUUUUAAUUUUUAGAUGGACACGGGGCUGAUCUAUUUGUGGCAAUCUUUGCAAUACAAUAAAUAAGAUCUAUUUUAAGUGGAGAGUUCAAUGUGAAAUGGGCACACUAUGUAUUUUAUUGAUUUUUUGGUAAUAAUUGAAGGCUUUGAGAAGCCUCAGUGCAUUAGGAUAUUGUUAAUGCGCAACAUGGAGAGACUUUAAAACAAAUGCUAGGGAUUAGAGUAUAGAUCAGAUAGCUGGCAAAUCUAUAGGAAGGGAAAAGUAAUUUUAAACACACAGCAUUUGUUUCCUGCUGCUCUAUCACAAUAGCUAGGUUUUUAAAUAAGUAGGCUUUAUACCAAGCCAUAAAAAUGAAUUGCUGGGGCUCUUUGGGACUAGGGAAGGCGGGAAAUUUUAGAUAUUGCUGUUGGCUUAGUGAAAAUGCAUGCUUACCCGGUCACCUGUGGCUCCAGCAGGACCAGGGGCACCUACAGCACCAGGAGCACCCUAGUACCAAAAAGGAAACAUGUCUUAUUAAUAACACCCCGUAUCAUCAAAAGUGAACCUUGUCAUUCUUUUUUUCUGUGCUUAUACAGUGACUGAACACUUUCACUGCACUCUGGUUGGAUAUCUAGAAGGCCUCUGAUGUAUUUUGGUUCUAAUUAACAAGACUAUUAGAAGCCACUCUCAGAAGGAGGGUACUCCAGUAAUAAAGGUUAUGGAAAUGUGUAAGUCAAUAGCAGGUCAGAAAUUUGGGAGAUCUGAACUUUCCGCUAUUGUAAAAUUCCCUGGAGAGCAGCAAAUGAGUAGCCUUGUUUGAAACUGUUAGAACUACGUGAUUCAAAAGAAAGACUAUUACAGAUGUGCUACAGUCAGUUUUCAGCUCUGAAGGAGAGGUGAAUAAAGGAAUCCAGGCCGACUGUGGCCUAGAAGACCCAUGAGGCUGACAUACGAGAUAAGGUAAUUAGACUGUCAUGGGAUUAUCUUUGGCAUCUUCAUGGCAUUAACAGCUAAUCUUUGGGGCUGCUCUUUGGGUGAUAAAUUUCUAGGGAGUAGGUUUGAAUAACUAUAGAAUCUUGUUAGAGGUCCCGGCUUCCUAAAGCAUAGGAGACUUAUUUAUUUAUUUAUUUUAAUCUCUGUUAUCACUUGAAGCAAUCAUUUAAUAUUCUAUUAAACCUAAAGCUUUUGGUCUAUAGUUUGUAGUUGGUAUCAUUGACACUAGGGAAGUUAGAAAAUUCAGGAUAUUAUUUUCAAAGAGGUUAAAUCCCAUUUAAUUUUUCCUUUGGAACAUGUAAAAUGAUAUUAUUAGUCAUAGACCCAGGAGAGAAAGGAAUAUUAUUUUAUUAAACUUGAUAAAUAAAGUGUGUGUAGUUCUAAUUUGGAAAACUUCUCAAUUCAAACAUAAAAAAAAAAUCCAAGUACGAAGAAACAUACAAACAAAAUUCUACUCACACGAGCACCAUCUCUGCCAGGGUUACCAAUUUCACCUCUGAGACCAGGUUCACCCUGAAAGUAUAAAGCAAGAGCAACUUUUUGUUUUCUGACCAAAAUUUUGAAUCGAAAUUAAUAUGAAGUUUUUUUCUUUU
rnacentral:lncRNA from 1 species